UUUAAUUGCAAGUUGUACUCGUUUAGGUUGCCAAGUUAUUUAUGCCAUGAAACAUAAUAUGUCAAUUUGGUUACCGUUUUGUUCAACAAAUUAAUCUCUGGAAAAAAAAAAAAAAAAAAACCUUUCACGAAUACGCAAUUUAUAGGAUUUAUAGUUAUGUACACAUAUACAUGUGAAAAUUAAGUUACAUAUAUUCGACAGUUUGGAAAGCACUGGUAACUUAGAAAUUGAAGUUAUAUUGUUUCAAUAAUUUAAAGCCACAAAUUAUUUAAGGAAUAAAAUCGCAAUCUUAUUAUGCCAAUUUAUUUACCAUUAUAGUUC
rnacentral:lncRNA from 1 species